ACGAGGGGGGCAAGUGUUGUUCGGAAUCACUGGGCGUAAAGGGAGCGUAGGCGGGAAUUUAAGUUGGAUGUUUAAACCUGGGGCCCAACCCCAGCUCGGCAUCCAAAACUGGGUUUCUUGAAUAGUGGAGAGGUAGAUGGAAUUUCCGGUGUAGCGGUGGAAUGCGUAGAUAUCGGAAAGAACACCAGUUGCGAAGGCGAUCUACUGGACACAUAUUGACGCUGAGGCUCGAAAGCAUGGGGAGCAAACAGGAUUAGAUACCCUGGUAGUCCAUGCCGUAAACGAUGAAUACUAGGUCUAGGACUUAUCAACGGUCCUGAGCCGUAGCUAACGCAUUAAGUAUUCCGCCUGGGGAGUACGGUCGCAAGACUG
rnacentral:rRNA from 1 species